UGUCGUGAGUGUGGCAUGGUACACGUGUCUUCAAGCUGAUGCUGGCUGUGGCUGAGCCUUGGCUGGGGACAGUUACUGGGACACCUAUGUGAUCUGUUCCUGGUCUCCUCAGCAGUCUCCGCAAACACCCUGCUAUGUGGUCCAGAAAACCUACAGUCUGCUUGAGAUGCAGCUUCCAUUGCCUACAGCACCACCAGGCAUCCAUCACGCGGGAUCAGCCGGGAGCGGCCGUCUAGGCAAUCGAUAAAACAACAAAUCAGGUCCUGAUUUGUGGUGCUGGCUGAUUUCUAUGGUGUAUGCACUAAGAACACGGUAGCAUUGGACCUCCAGCUGGGCAGUGACAUGCAACAGCACACAGAGCGUGGGGAUUGACAGCUUCAUUGGGAACACUCUCUGCAGUCUCCAGCCAUACGACACUGCUUUGAAGGCUGUGGGACCGUUAGGAGGUGGGAUCUGGCUCAUGGAGGUGGCUGUCAGGUGCUGGUACACCCAUCCCUGGUUCCACUCACUUUUUCUCUGCCUUCUAUCUGCCCCCAUGUGAGUCAUCUCUGCCACGCACUCCUGCUACCAUGGAUGAAGCUGCCACCAUCUCUCUCCAGCAGCGACGGACCAACCUCCCUCAACUGUGACCCCAAAUAAACCCUCUCU